rnacentral:rRNA from 1 species
AGUGAACGCUGGCGGUAGGCCUAACACAUGCAAGUCGAACGGCAGCACAGUAAGAGCUUGCUCUUACGGGUGACGAGUGGCGGACGGGUGAGGAAUACAUCGGAAUCUACUUUUUCGUGGGGGGUAACGUAGGGAAACUUACGCUAAUACCGCAUACGACCUACGGGUGAAAGCAGGGGAUCUUCGGACCUUGCGCGAUUGAAUGAGCCGAUGUCGGAUUAGCUAGUUGGCGGGGUAAAGGCCCACCAAGGCGACGAUCCGUAGCUGGUCUGAGAGGAUGAUCAGCCACACUGGAACUGAGACACGGUCCAGACUCCUACGGGAGGCAGCAGUGGGGAAUAUUGGACAAUGGGCGCAAGCCUGAUCCAGCCAUACCGCGUGGGUGAAGAAGGCCUUCGGGUUGUAAAGCCCUUUUGUUGGGAAAGAAAAGCAGCAGGUUAAUACCCCGCUGUUCUGACGGUACCCAAAGAAUAAGCACCGGCUAACUUCGUG